rnacentral:rRNA from 1 species
GACGAACGCUGGCGGCGUGCUUAACACAUGCCAGUCGAACGGAAAGGCCUUUUCGGAGGUACUCGAGUGGCGCACGGGUGAGUAACACGUGGGUGAUCUGCCCUGCACUCUGGGAUAAGCCUGGGAAACUGGGUCUAAUACCGGAUAGGACCGCACUUUAGUGUGUGUGGUGGAAAGUUUUUUCGGUGUAGGAUGAGCCCGCGGCCUAUCAGCUUGUUGGUGGGGUAAUGGCCUACCAAGGCGGCGACGGGUAGCCGGACUGAGAGGUUGGUCGGCCACAUUGGGACUGAGAUACGGCCCAGACUCCUACGGGAGGCAGCAGUGGGGAAUAUUGCACAAUGGGCGCAAGCCUGAUGCAGCGACGCCGCGUGGGGGAUGACGGCCUUCGGGUUGUAAACUCCUUUCGCCAGGGACGAAGCGUUUUGUGACGGUACCUGGAGAAGAAGCACCGGCUAACUACGUG